UUGUUCUUGUUGUUGUUGUUGUUGUUGUCGUUGUUGUUGUCGUUAUUUCUUUUGUUGUUGUUGUUCUUAUUGUUUUUUAUUGUUGUUGUUGUUGUUGUUGUUGUUGUUAUUGUCGUCGUCGUCUUCGUUAUUUUUGUGGUUGUGUUUGAUUUUGUUGUUUUCGUUGUUGUUGUUGUCGUUAUUGUUGUCGUUGUUCUCGUCAUUGUCAUUGUUGUCGUC
rnacentral:lncRNA from 1 species